rnacentral:rRNA from 1 species
GGGGGAAUUUUCCGCAAUGGGCGAAAGCCUGACCGAGCAAUGCCGCGUGAACGAUGAAGGCCUUCGGGUUGUAAAGUUCUGUUAUCAGGGAAGAACAUACGGAUUAGGAAAUGACUCCGUACUGACGGUACCUGAUCAGAAAGCUCCGGCCCAACUACGUGCCAGCAGCCGCGGUAAUACGUAGGGAGCAAGCGUUAUCCGGAACUAUUGGGCGUAAAGCGUGCGUAGGCGGUUCGUUAAGUCAAAUCUGAAAGCCCACAGCUCAACUGUGGAGGGCGAUUUGAAACUGGCGAACUUGAGUACGGCAGAGGUUAGUGGAAUUCAAUGUGUAGCGGUGGAAUGCGUAGAUAUAUUGAGGAACACCAGUGGCGAAGGCGGCUAACUGGACCGGAACUGACGCUGAGGCACGAAAGCGUGGGUAGCAAACAGGAUUAGAUACCCUGGUAGUCCACGCCGUAAACGAUGAGAACUAAGUGUUGGGGUUACCCAGUGCUGAAGCUAACGCAUUAAGUUCUCCGCCUGGGGAUUACGACCGCAAGGUUGAAACUCAAAGAAAUUGACGGGUCUCCGCACAAGCGGUGGAGCAUGUUGUUUAAUUCGACGAUACGCGAAGAACCUUACCAGGGCUUGACAUCCCAGUGAAAGGUGUAGAGAUACAUUUUUCCUUCGGGACACUGGUGACAGGUGGUGCAUGGUUGUCGUCAGCUCGUGUCGUGAGAUGUUGGGUUAAGUCCCGCAACGAGCGCAACCCCUAUUGAUAGCUGCUAACAUUAAGUUGAGGACUCUAUCGAGACUGCCAGUGAUAAACUGGAGGAAGGUGGGGAUGACGUCAAAUCAUCAUGCCCCUUAUGUCCUGGGCUACAAACGUGCUACAAUGGCUGGUACAAUGGGUCGCCAAACUGUGAAGUGGAGCUAAUCCUUUAAAGCCAGUCUCAGUUCGGAUUGGAGUCUGCAACUCGACUCCAUGAAGUUGGAAUCGCUAGUAAUUGCAGGUC